GUGGGGAAUAUUGGACAAUGGGGGGAACCCUGAUCCAGCCAUGCCGCGUGUGUGAAGAAGGCCUUUUGGUUGUAAAGCACUUUAAGCGAGGAGGAGGCUACCGAGAUUAAUACUCUUGGAUAGUGGACGUUACUCGCAGAAUAAGCACCGGCUAACUCUGUGCCAGCAGCCGCGGUAAUACAGAGGGUGCAAGCGUUAAUCGGAUUUACUGGGCGUAAAGCGCGCGUAGGUGGCCAAUUAAGUCAAAUGUGAAAUCCCCGAGCUUAACUUGGGAAUUGCAUUCGAUACUGGUUGGCUAGAGUAUGGGAGAGGAUGGUAGAAUUCCAGGGGUAGCGGUGAAAUGCGUAGAGAUCUGGAGGAAUACCGAUGGCGAAGGCAGCCAUCUGGCCUAAUACUGACACUGAGGUGCGAAAGCAUGGGGAGCAAACAGGAUUAGAAACCCGGUAGUCC
rnacentral:rRNA from 1 species